UUGCUCAGCUCGUGCUGUUGAGAAGAAAUUAUCCCAGCAUUAUAGUAGCAACCAAGACUUUAGUUUGGCCUUGGUUAAAUGAGCCUUUUGGACCAGGUCAGCCAGAUCCGGCAAAGCUGGGCAACAAGGACCUAUGAUUCUAUGGAAUACUCCUGUAUUCCACAGCCCCUAUCACAUGGGGUCAUUUAUUCUCUGGACUUACUGGAUCUUCAGGAUGAAUUCAUCCAGCUGAAGAAAGUACCACAGGCCAUGCUAUGGACCGAAUGUUUCCAUUCCUACAGAAUUUGUAUGUUAGUCAAUCAUAGCUCAAUUUAAAAAAUAUUCAUAUGUUAAACCCUAACCCACAAUGUGAUGGUUUUAGGAGGUGAGGACUUUGGGAGGUAAUUAGGUUUAGGUGAGGUCAUGAGUUAAACUCUCAUGAUGGGAUUAGUGUCCUUAUAAACACAGGAAGAAACUACAGCAUAAUCUUUCUCUACCAUGUGAGAACACAGCAAGAAGAUGGCUGUCUGCAGGCCAGGAAGAGGACUCUCACCAGACACCAAAUCUGCCUGCACCUUGAUCUUGGAUUUUCCAGCCUUCCCAUGUAACUGAGACAUAAAUGUUUGUUUUUUAA